AAUUAAAAAGGGAAUUUCUCCUUCACGUCUCCUCUCCUGCUUCCCAGGAUCCUCACUCCCAGGAGGUUCCUGCUUUUAUGGUCGCUUGGAUUCUUCCCCCAGCUGCCUGUCCUUGACUUCUAGAAUGGAAGAAGCUGAGCUGGUGAAGGAGAGACUCCAGGCCAUCACAGAUAAAAGAAAAAUACAGGAAGAAAUCUCACAAAAACGUCUGAAAAUAGAGGAAGAAAAACUACAUCACCAGCAUUUGAAGAAAAAAGCCUUGAGGGAAAAAUGGCUUCUAGAUGGAAUCAGCAGUGGAAAAGAAGAAGAAGAGAUGAAGAAGCAAAAUCAACAAGAUCAGC